rnacentral:tRNA from 1 species
UAGAGAAUAGUAUAGUGGUAGUACAUAGAGUUUUGAGCUCUAUGGUGCGGGUUCGAGACCCGUUUUUCUAA